AAAUAGGAAGAAGUAACUCAGUUGUCACAUCAGAUGAUGAAAUUAAGUUUUUUAUUCCCUGACUAAAUCUUCCAUCUGGCAGCAAUGACCACCAAGUUUCAACCAGGACCAUGAAGCCCAGCUGAAGACUGCUCACUACUGGAGUACUGCUGAGGGCAGCAAUCCUUCUCCACUCUUUGGCACUGGAGAGGCUGCACCUGGAGCACUGUGCCCAGUUUGGGGCUCCUCAGUAGAAGAGAGAGGCUAAGACUACUGCAAUACUGAAUAUACAAUUGCUCAUGUACUCUUCAGAUUCUUUUUUUAAUUUACCCUUGCACAUUUUCAUUUAUUGCAAUGUCAGGAAGGCAUGACAGUUUCAUUGCAUGUGUGGAUGAAACAAAAUAUGAAGGAUAAGCAUUGCCUUUAAGCAGACAAAAGAAAGACAUUGCUGGCAUUUAUCAAGAGAAGACACACAGCACAGCCUUGCAUAAAUAAUGGCACUGGGCCAAGUACAGCUGAGGUGGUUGCCAGCACAACUCCAUUGAAGUCAAAGGAAUUGCACCACGGGUGUUCCCUUCUGCCCCAUGUCACCCUUUCCCUCCAAGACUACAAAGGUGCCUGUGUCAAAGAAGAGGGAGCACAUAAUGAGUCCUGCUCUGUCAUGGAGAAGCAAAGAAGGCCACUGUUCUUGCAUGUCUUGUACACUUUUUCUUUGGCAAGUUAUCAGAUUUUCUUGAUGUCUUUACUUGUUCCUUGCAAUGGAGAUGUCUACUGGCUGCUUAAUGAGGUUUUGAAUGACAGUCUCUGCAUCCAAAAUAAUGGGUCUAAGUAUUACAGUAUUUGAAUCAAUAUUCAGCAGAUAAGAAAUAACUAGGGGUGGAGAAAGGUGUUCUCUUUCUCACACACAUACACAGUUAAUCUCAUCUUGUCUGGGACCUAGAAAUGUGUUUAUGCUUAGAUCUUCAUGUUUCUCACUCCAAAGCACUUAUUUUACCAAUGUUAAGAAGAGGUAACAGAGUCUGACUUGCUAAACUUGACUGCAUAACUCAGCCAGUAGUGACCUUUGAACACAGGAAAUAUUAUGGUGAAUUUUGCUUUGAAAGGUAGCCACAGGUAAUGGAAUCACAGAGAUUUUGCUGCUUGCUAGAGCAAGAGUAAGCUUGUGACAAAAUUAAGCCUUUUAUUUCUUCAUCUUCCCGCCCUUUCUUUUGUUUCUUUCACUCACCCCCCCAUCCCAAUGAAUUCGUACAUGACAAGAAACAGUGAUCUGAACUGCAAAUUUCACAUCAUUUAUUGAAUAUAGGCCAAUAUUGCUGUUAUGAUUUGCAUCUUGCUCGAGUCAAAGUUCUGCUGGCUGAAAACAGCUUUCCCUUAACCAUAUUAGCUCUGUCAUCUCCCAGCAGCAACAACAAAUGGCAGCAAAAAAGAAACUUCAGAGUGCUUUUUCAUCCGCUGAUUCCUAUUUCCAGGUAGUCAGGUAUUGUGAACGCGACUGAAAGCAGAAUAUUUUUCAUGGUUUUUAGUCUUUCAGCCCCUGACUAAUAAGCCUUCUUCAUUGUCAAAAGGGAGGGAACUGAUGAACCUGUUGUACAUUGAGCCUCGUAUUUCUAGCCCAAGAAGGUAGGUUUUCCAGCUUGGUUAUACCAGUUCUUUGGGAUGGAACAGAGAAGGAUCAACCAGGUCAUUGUCAUCUUGGGGCAAAGAUAGAGUUUGCAAAGCUCAAAUAAUUUGAUCACUGUGGUGCUGGAAGGGAAUUAUUUUCCCAGGGCAGCCAGAAAUCAACUGCUGUGUGGUCAGUUUGACCUAAUAACUCUGCUGGGAUUUCAGACAAUUUUAAGAAUUAUUCUUAUUCAGUAUUUAAAUGGCAGGUUUUUUGGUAUUGUAUGAAGGAAAGACAUUUUGAUUUCAAGAAAUUGAACAGGAGCUAAACUGAAACUACAUUAUUCAACUUUUUUUUUGAGCAUGGGAUUUUUAAAGAGUAAACAAGUAAAUUUUAAAUAGACAAAGAGCACCCUCCUGAAGCAGUGGCAGCUGCCCUAGAAAACAGGUGCUAGAGCCAGAGGAGAGUGAAAACUCUCUUAUGCUCACAAGGGAAAUGAUUUAUCAGUGACAUAGAUUAUACCAUGGGCAGGUUAUCCUUCUAAGUAAAAUCCUCCUUUUUUUCUGGGAAAUGGGGGCAAAUGCGGAAAAGAAGGAAAUAAACCUAUUGUGUCAGAGAUAGCUUCCUGGGAUCAGAUGUCCCCCUGCAUGAACCUUUGCAUGCAUUUAUAUAACGGUAUUUUUCUUUGACAGGGCACAAAUGAACUCAGCAACUCAGUUAUUACUAUGCCAGAGCUUUAUAACAUUCUUUAUGUGCUUCUCAAUAUGAUUGUGUAUUUCCUGUCUUUAUACAUGCCUCUCUAUGUGUAAGUGUUGAAACGUUAUUCUUCUGCUAUUGUGGCCAAUAUCAGCUGGAAUUUUGUCAUUUCUUUGAGGAAGAGAGGUCAAAUUGAUAUUUGUUACUGAGAAAUGUUUCUUCACAUAAUGUGAGACCCUGUGCAUCACUCAGUGCUCCUGUGAAGGAAGAAGCAUCCCCAAAAUCACACAUAGUCAAAGGCAAUUGAAAGAAACUCACUUUGUAAGGUUAUGGUCUUUUCUACAUCCCACCAUGGAUCUUGAUGUCUUUUCUGCUCUAAAAUCAUGUUACUAAAGGACAUAUAUGAGACAGCAGGUCAAAUUGGAAGAAAUGCACCAUUUAAAUCUGAAAAGAGCCUCUAGCUACAAUGGGGUCAACACCUCAGAAUACAAGAAAAAACAUUUUUAUAGCAACACUCAAUAGAAUUUAUCAUUUCUUUUUAAUUCAAACCAGAACAAGCCCAAAAGUAAGGGGUAGAAGGGAAAGUAGAGUAACAAAUGUGAGGGGAAAAGAAACAGCAGGAAAGCUAUAGAGGACACAAGGUGAAAUAGUGUUGCACAGAAAAAAACAAAUAUGCUUCUCUGCAACAAAUACAGCAGGAAGCCUAACAAAAAACCCCACAAAAGCUUAAAUGAGCACAGCUGCAGUACAGGGACUGUGCAUGAUAAAGUGUGACGGGACAAGGAGACUAGAUACAAUGACU